rnacentral:rRNA from 1 species
UACGUAGGGUGCAAGCGUUUGUCCGGAAUUAUUGGGCGUAAAGAGCUCGUAGGCGGUCUGUCGCGUCUGCUGUGAAAACUCGGGGCUUAACCCCGGGCCUGCAGUGGGUACGGGCAGACUAGAGUGCGGUAGGGGAGACUGGAAUUCCUGGUGUAGCGGUGAAAUGCGCAGAUAUCAGGAGGAACACCGGUGCGAAGGCGGGUCUCUGGGCCGUAACUGACGCUGAGGAAGCGAAAGCUGGGGAGCGAACAGG